UGGGGAAUAUUGCACAAUGGAGGGAACUCUGAUGCAGCGACGCCGCGUGAACGAAGAAGGCUUUCGAGUCGUAAAGUUCUUUUAUAUGGGAAGAUAAUGACGGUACCAUAAGAAAAAGCCCCGGCUAACUACGUGCCAGCAGCCGCGGUAAUACGUAGGGGGCUAGCGUUGUCCGGAAUCACUGGGCGUAAAGGGUUCGCAGGCGGAAAUGCAAGUCAGGUGUAAAAGGCAGUAGCUUAACUACUGUAAGCAUUUGAAACUGCAUAUCUUGAGAAGAGUAGAGGUAAGUGGAAUUUUUAGUGUAGCGGUGAAAUGCGUAGAGAUUAAAAAGAAUACCGGUGGCGAAGGAGACUGACUGGGCUCAUUCUGACGCUGAGGAACGAAAGCGUGGGUAGCAAACAGG
rnacentral:rRNA from 1 species